GAUGAACGCUGGCGGCGUGCCUAAUACAUGCAAGUCGAGCGAACGGACGAGAAGCUUGCGUCUCUGAGGUUAGCGGCGGACGGGUGAGUAACACGUGGAUAACCUACCUAUAAUACUGGGAUAACUUCGGGAAACCGGAGCUAAUACCGGAUAAUAUGUUGAACCGCAUGGUUCAGAAGUGAAAGACGGUUUUGCUGUCACUUAUAGAUGGAUCCGCGCUGCAUUAGCUAGUUGGUAAGGUAACGGCUUACCAAGGCAACGAUGCCUAGCCGACCUGAGAGGGUGAUCGGCCACACUGGAACUGAGACACGGUCCAGACUCCUACGGGAGGCAGCAGUAGGGAAUCUUCCGCAAUGGGCGCAAGCCUGACGGAGCAACGCCGCGUGAGUGAUGAAGGUCUUCGGAUCGUAAAACUCUGUUAUUAGGGAAGAACAUAUGUGUAAGUAACUGUUCACGUCUUGACGGUACCUAAUCAGAAAGCCACGGCUAACUACGUG
rnacentral:rRNA from 1 species